CUACGGGAUGCACCAGUGAGGAAUAUUGCACAAUGGGGGAAACCCUGAUGCAGCAACGCCGCGUGGAGGAUGACGCAUUUCGGUGUGUAAACUCCUUUUAUCAGAGAAGAAAAUGACGGUAUCUGAUGAAUAAGCUCCGGCUAACUCCGUGCCAGCAGCCGCGGGAAUACGGAGGGAGCAAGCGUUAUUCGGAAUCACUGGGCGUAAAGGACGCGUAGGCGGGUUUUUAAGGCAGGUGUGAAAUCCUAUGGCUCAACCAUAGAACUGCACUUGAAACUGGGGACCUAGAGUAUGGAAGGGGCAGGUGGAAUUAGUGGUGUAGGGGUAAAAUCCGUAGAUAUCACUAGGAAUACCGAAAGCGAAGGCGACCUGCUGGGACAUUACUGACGCUGAGGCGUGAAAGCGUGGGGAGAAAACAGGAUUAGAUACCCUUGUAGUC
rnacentral:rRNA from 1 species